AUUGCAUGGGGUGAGUUUGGGGCUUGGACAUAGAUUAGUAUUUAAUGUUAAGUUAGUAUUUUUUUGUAAGCUUUGGAUUAUAGACAGAGACGUGGACUGGUAACAUUAUCGUCUUGCAUAUUAUGUUUACAUUUAUGAAUUGUAGUGAUUUUAUAUAAAACAUUGAAUUGUAGGACUAACAUUGUAUAAUUUAUUUCUUUUCAGCUACCCCCGCCAGGAGAACGGAAGCAUCGAGUCGCUGGAGGCCUCGAGAGUCAUUGGAGGUGAGUAUUAGUUGUGUUUUGGCAGGAAAUUGGCUUCAGACGCUGGAUGCGCGCCACUUGCAAUAUGUAUGUCCGGAAAGCGUUGCAGGUAAUUUAUUAGUGGUAAGUUUAUCCCUCGCUGCUGUCAUUUGAUGGUUUUUCUCUUCCACCCUCAGUGGUAGAUGUUUGCAAUUAUUUAUUUAGUUUGUUAAAAUUGCAGGUCAGCUUCGGCGGUCGUCGGGAAGAGGAUGCCUGAAGAAAGGUCCGGCACAGCGGUCGUCACGUAGUUUUGGAGCUGCUGCCAUUAUUGUGAUGGGAUCUGUUUCGUUAUGGCAGGAGAGUCGACAGUGAUGAUUGUGGCUUGGUCGUUCAUCUUGAGUGGCUAGAUGCGCCGCGUUUUGUGGCCAUUUCGCCAGGGUUUGCAGCUUGGAGCCUCCGGAGCGUGAUUAGUUGCCGAGAGCCGUCGCAACGAUUGGGGCCAUGGAAAUGGAAGUAAAAUUAGAUAUUGGGUACAUUUGGUGGAAGGUAAGUAUUAUAUUAAUAAUUUAUUUGUUUUCAUAUUUAUUGCAUUGUUUUCGUUUUGUUUAAUUUUGUUUUUGUUUUUCAGGUACAUUAGGUGGAAGCUAAUCUGGUGGUAAGUAUUUUAAUUGUUUUUAUGGUUGCGUUAAUAUUUUGUUUUGUUUGUAUUUAACUAAUUUGGAGGUCCUUUGUUUUUGGAACAUAGCAACGGAAGAGCCGCUGGUUUAGUGUCGUCGAGUUGGCGAUUAGAUAAGUGUUUUGUUAAAGUAAUUAAUUCCCAGUUUUAGCUUGUGCUCCCUUGUUUCAGAAUUUACAAUCUUGGUGCUUUUAGGUUUUAGCUUCAGCUCUCUGUUGGCGCUCGUCAAGCUGGAAGUUUAUGGGAGCAGCCAUGGAAAUGGAUAAAAUUUGAGAUUGGGUACAUUUGGUGGGAGAUACAUUUGGUGGAAGCUAAUCUGGUGGUGAGUAUUAUAAUUGUUUUUAUGGUUGCAUUAGUCUUUUGUUUUUCAGGUACUUUUUGCAAUUAAUUUGGAGGCCCUUUGUUUUUGGAACAUGGCAACGGAAGAGCCGAGGGUUUAGUGUCGUCGGGUUAGCAAUUAGAUAAGUGUUUUGUUAAAGUAAUUUAUUCCCAGUUUUAGCUUGUGCUUCCUUGUUUCAGGAUUUACAUCUAGGAAAGAUCAGUUGCAUGCUUAUCGUCAGCAAGAUGGAACCGCCUGUUGGCGCCUGUUGUCGCCUGGUUGUUUGCCUGUCCGGUUUGCUUUGUUCUUAAUUAAUUAUCUUUUGUAUCAUAUUCUUAUUAAUUAUCUUUUCGUUGUAGUUUAGCGGAGAACUCGUAGGAGAUGCGAUACUGAGGAAAAGUAAACAAUUUGAGGACAAAAAAUGCGGAUUGUUUGUGUGGCGCCUGCUCUGCGCUAGUUAUCCUUGUUGGAGCAAUGGCAUCAGGAGGCGGAGACGGCAUCGUAAUAUUGUCGAUUUUUUGUAUUAAAAGUCGCAAAAAUUGGCGAUUUUGUUUUACGAUUGGUGGGCCCAUCUCCUCUUGUCUAAUGCAUAAGCUGUAGGUAAGCUGUUGUCUGUGGUCGGUGCGGUAAGUGCUUUAUUUGAUUUAAUUUAGUUUGUUUAAAAUGUUGUUAAUUGUUUGCUUUUAGGUUUUAGCGUCAGUUCUCUGUUGGCGCUCGUCAAGCUGGAAGUUUAUGGGAGCAGCCAUGGAAAUGGAAGUAACAUUUGUGAUUGGGUACAUUUGGUGGGAGGUACAUUUGGUGGAAGCUAAUCUGGUGGUGAGUAUUAUAAUUGUUUUUAUGGUUGCAUUAGUCUUUUGUUUUUCAGGUACGUUUUGCAACUAAUUAGGAGGCCCUUUGUUAUUGGAACAUAGCAACGGAAGAGCCGCGGGUUUAGUGUAGUCGCGUUGGCAAUUAGAUAAGUGUUUUGUUAAAAUAGUUUAAUUAAUUAGGAAUUAAUUGUAAAUAAAUGUAUUUUUGGUUUUAA